UGGCUCAUUAUAUAAGUUAUCGUUUAUUUGAUAGUACCUUACUACUUGGAUAACCGUGGUAAUUCUAGAGCUAAUACAUGCUAAAAAUCCCGACUUCGGAAGGGAUGUAUUUAUUAGAUUAAAAACCAAUGCCCUCUGGGCUCUCUGGUGAUUCAUGAUAACUUCUCGAAUCGCAUGGCCUUGCGCCGGCGAUGGUUCAUUCAAAUUUCUUCCCUAUCAACUUUCGAUGUUUGGGUAGUGGCCAAACAUGGUUGCAACGGGUAACGGAGGGUUAGGGCUCGACCCCGGAGAAGGAGCCUGAGAAACGGCUACUACAUCCAAGGAAGGCAGCAGGCGCGCAAAUUACCCAAUCCCGAUUCGGGGAGGUAGUGACAAUAAAUACUGAUACAGGGCUCUUUUGGGUCUUGUAAUUGGAAUGAGUACAAUUUAAAUCCCUUAACGAGGAACAAUUGGAGGGCAAGUCUGGUGCCAGCAGCCGCGGUAAUUCCAGCUCCAAUAGCGUAUAUUAAAGUUGUUGUGGUUAAAAAGCUCGUAGUUGAACCUUGGGCCUGGCUGGCCGGUCCGCCUCACCGCGUGUACUGGUCCGGCCGGGCCUUUCCCUCUGUGGAACCCCAUGCCCUUCACUGGGUGUGGCGGGGAAACAGGACUUUUACUUUGAAAAAAUUAGAGUGCUCCAGGCAGGCCUAUGCUCGAAUACAUUAGCAUGGAAUAAUAAAAUAGGACGUGCGGUUCUAUUUUGUUGGUUUCUAGGACCGCCGUAAUGAUUAAUAGGGACAGUCGGGGGCAUCAGUAUUCAAUUGUCAGAGGUGAAAUUCUUGGAUUUAUUGAAGACUAACUACUGCGAAAGCAUUUGCCAAGGAUGUUUUCAUUAAUCAGGAACGAAAGUUAGGGGAUCGAAGACGAUCAGAUACCGUCGUAGUCUUAACCAUAAACUAUGCCGACUAGGAUCGGGACGAUGUUAUAUUUUGACUCGUUCGGCACUUACGAGAAUCAAAGUGCUUGGCUCAGGGGGGAGUAUGGUCGCAAGGCUGAAACUUAAGAAGUAUUUGUGCGACGAAGAGGA
rnacentral:rRNA from 1 species